rnacentral:rRNA from 1 species
CUGAGUACGGCGGAACACGUGAAAUUCCGUCGGAAUCCGGGAGGACCAUCUCCCAAGGCUAAAUACUCCCUAGUGACCGAUAGUGAACCAGUACCGUGAGGGAAAGGUGAAAAGCACCCCGGAAGGGGAGUGAAACAGUUCCUGAAACCGUGUGCCUACAAGUAGUUAGAGCCCGUUAAUGGGUGAUAGCGUGCCUUUUGUAGAAUGAACCGGCGAGUUACGAUUUGUUGCAAGGUUAAGCGGAAAAAGCGGAGCCGUAGCGAAAGCGAGUCUGAAUAGGGCGCAUAAGUAACAGGUCGUAGACCCGAAACCAGGUGAUCUACCCAUGUCCAGGAUGAAGGUAAGGUAAUACUUACUGGAGGUCCGAACCCACGCACGUUGAAAAGUGCGGGGAUGAGGUGUGGGUAGCGGAGAAAUUCCAAUCGAACUUGGAGAUAGCUGGUUCUCUCCGAAAUAGCUUUAGGGCUAGCCUCGAGGUAAAGAGUCAUGGAGGUAGAGCACUGUUUGGACUAGGGGCCCUUCUCGGGUUACCGAAUUCAGAUAAACUCCGAAUGCCAUGUACUUAUACUCGGGAGUCAGACUGCGAGUGAUAAGAUCCGUAGUCGAAAGGGAAACAGCCCAGACCACCAGUUAAGGUCCCCAAAUAUAUGUUAAGUGGAAAAGGAUGUGGGGUUGCUUAGACAACCAGGAUGUUGGCUUAGAAGCAGCCACCAUUGAAAGAGUGCGUAAUAGCUCACUGGUCGAGUGACCCCGCGCCGAAAAUGUACCGGGGCUAAACAUAUUACCGAAACUGUGGAUGAACCUCUUUAGAGGUUCGUGGUAGGAGAGCGUUCUAAGGGCGGUGAAGUCAGACCGGAAGGACUGGUGGAGCGCUUAGAAGUGAGAAUGCCGGUAUGAGUAGCGAAAGAAGGGUGAGAAUCCCUUCCACCGAAUAUCUAAGGUUUCCUGAGGAAGGCUCGUCCGCUCAGGGUUAGUCGGGACCUAAGCCGAGGCCGAUAGGCGUAGGCGAUGGACAACAGGUAGAGAUUCCUGUACCAGUGCUAAUUGUUUAACCGAUGGGGUGACACAGAAGGAUAGGGAAUCGCACGAAUGGAAAUGUGCGUCCAAGCAGUGAGUGUGAGAAGUAGGCAAAUCCGCUUCUCGCGAAGCAUGAGCUGUGAUGGGGAAGGAAAUUAAGUACGGAAGUUCCUGAUUUCACGCUGUCAAGAAAAGCCUCUAGGAAGAGUAGUACUGCCCGUACCGCAAACCGACACAGGUAGAUGAGGAGAGAAUCCUAAGGUGAGCGAGAGAACUCUCGUUAAGGAACUCGGCAAAAUGACCCCGUAACUUCGGGAGAAGGGGUGCUCUAUUAGGGUGCAAGCCCGAGAGAGCCGCAGUGAAUAGGCCCAGGCGACUGUUUAGCAAAAACACAGGUCUCUGCAAAACCGUAAGGUGACGUAUAGGGGCUGACGCCUGCCCGGUGCUGGAAGGUUAAGAGGAGUGCUUAGCUUCGGCGAAGGUACGAAUUGAAGCCCCAGUAAACGGCGGCCGUAACUAUAACGGUCCUAAGGUAGCGAAAUUCCUUGUCGGGUAAGUUCCGACCCGCACGAAAGGCGCAACGAUCUGGGCACUGUCUCAACGAGAGACUCGGUGAAAUUAUAGUACCUGUGAAGAUGCAGGUUACCCGCGACAGGACGGAAAGACCCCGUGGAGCUUUACUGCAACCUGAUAUGGAAUGUUUGUACCGCUUGUACAGGAUAGGUAGGAGCCGAAGAGACGUGUGCGCUAGCAUACGAGGAGGCAAUGGUGGGAUACUACCCUGGCUGUAUGACCAUUCUAACCCGCCACGCUUAGCGCGUGGGGAGACAGUGUCAGGUGGGCAGUUUGACUGGGGCGGUCGCCUCCUAAAGAGUAACGGAGGCGCCCAAAGGUUCCCUCAGAAUGGAUGGAAAUCAUUCGCAGAGUGUAAAGGCACAAGGGAGCUUGACUGCGAGACUGACAAGUCGAGCAGGGACGAAAGUCGGGCUUAGUGAUCCGGUGGUUCCGCAUGGAAGGGCCAUCGCUCAACGGAUAAAAGCUACCCCGGGGAUAACAGGCUUAUCUCCCCCAAGAGUCCACAUCGACGGGGAGGUUUGGCACCUCGAUGUCGGCUCGUCGCAUCCUGGGGCUGUAGUCGGUCCCAAGGGUUGGGCUGUUCGCCCAUUAAAGCGGCACGCGAGCUGGGUUCAGAACGUCGUGAGACAGUUCGGUCCCUAUCCGUCGCGGGCGCAGGAAAUUUGAGAGGAGCUGUCCUUAGUACGAGAGGACCGGGAUGGACACACCGCUGGUGUACCAGUUGUUCCGCCAGGAGCAUCGCUGGGUAGCUAUGUGUGGCAGGGAUAAACGCUGAAAGCAUCUAAGCGUGAAGCC